CCUCUUUUUGUUCAUUUUGGUAAUAAUGCUUUCCCUUUUGGCUUCUUUGCAGUAUCCACUCUUACUUCCGGGCGAGAAAGAAUUUGUCUACGAAAGUUGCUCACAUUUGUCAUCUUCUUCAGGCUCCAUCGAGGGUUCUUUCACGUUUGUCUCUGGAAAAUUGGCCGAUCCCAAAAGCAGGCCGUUUGAGGUUGAAGUGGCGCGUUUUCCUCUCCAGGUGCCGGACUACAUUUUCUAAGAUAACAGUUGUGUGAGGUUAAUAUGUUUAAAGUUUGGAUGAUUGAAUAAAUUUCUUGUAUAUCUGAUGGGAUGUUUUGUUACUAUGUGUAAUUUGGUAAGCUGAAUUUGUUGCUGAAUGGCGGAACCCUAACAUAUGUCCUAAAGAGCCAUUUUGUCAUUUUUAUGAGGACUGUUAUUUUUUGUAAACAUGUUUUCAUGUGACAGCCCUUUGGUUCCUAGUGGGUGGUUUGAAAUUUGGAUUCUUGUGCUCGUUA